AGCUGCGGGAGAAACGACUCUUGGAGAAGUCCUCUUUGGAUAAAGUUUUUGAUGAGAUGUUGGCAGGGUCUGGGGCUGAGGAUGACGUAGACAGAACCUUAACAGAAUUUUCAGUUGCAGAAGAUUCAACAUCAGUUCCCGAAGAAGGAAGACAACUGAAGCAAGUACAUUUGAAAGCUCGAGUAAUAAUCCAAAAUCCUAGAAUUUCUGGCUGAAGAACCCAAGAUGCACCCUCUGAUAAAGGUAUAAGCAGAAAUAUUCUUAAUAUUUAAAUAAAAUUAUUUUCUCCCUCGUUUCACUCCUCC